GCGGGCGUAGUUCAGUGGUAGAACACUAGCCUUCCAAGCUAGUUACGUGAGUUCGAUUCUCAUCGCCCGCUCCA
rnacentral:tRNA from 1 species